rnacentral:rRNA from 1 species
UACGUAGGGGGCAAGCGUUGUCCGGAAUCAUUGGGCGUAAAGCGCGCGUAGGCGGCUUGGUAAGUCCGCUGUGAAAGCCCGGGGCUCAACCCCGGGAGGCGGGUGGAUACGGUCAAGCUCGAGUCCGGAAGAGGCGAGUGGAAUUCCCGGUGUAGCGGUGAAAUGCGCAGAUAUCGGGAGGAACACCAAUGGCGAAGGCAGCUCGCUGGGACGUGACUGACGCUGAGACGCGAAAGCGUGGGGAGCAAACAGG